rnacentral:rRNA from 1 species
CUCGUAGGCGGUUCGUCGCGUCCGGUGUGAAAGUCCAUCGCUUAACGGUGGAUCCGCGCCGGGUACGGGCGGGCUUGAGUGCGGUAGGGGAGACUGGAAUUCCCAGUGUAGCGGUGAAAUGCGUAGAUAUUGGGAAGAACACCAGUGGCGAAGGCGGCUUUCUGGACUGUAACUGACGCUGAGGCUCGAAAGCUAGGGUAGCGAAG